UGGGUCUGGCUGUAGUAGCAAAUUUGGGUUGGAGAGAGAGGCACAGAGAAAGAAGAUAGAUAAAAGAAUUAUCUAAUCUGGGAAGGUCUUAGUUCCUCAGGCAGCAUAGCAAGCCACAUACCCUAUGAGCUUACAGGACUGCUUUAAAGGGCAGGAGGACUGCUUGCACUACAGAUCUUCUAAGAGGCAAGUGGUGUUUCAGCAUCCUUUGUGGGUACUCCUGGCCCCUUUCCACAGGAGAGAUUCCAAAGAGGACUCUCGCUUGCUGCUCACGGUGUUCCCUGCCUUCCUGUGGGGUCCAGUGGAACACCUUAAGAGUUUGAAAAGCUUAAAAAUCUUAGCUAAAAGCUUUCCUCUUCACCUUGAGUUGUGCUACAUCUGAAGUGAACCAGCUGAAAGACAAGAGGAAGUAAUCCAGCUGACUAGAUGCCUCCCCCUUUCCUGUUAGGUGAAAAAUGAUUUUUCGGAAAAUCUUGUACUGGAUACUGCAUCCAUCCUAUGCAUUUUUGCAUUUUAGUUAGCCUAAUUUUUAAUCAAAAGCUAUGUUGGCAGAAUUUUUUUCAAUGAUGCAAUGGAAGUAGCAGAGAUGAAAUAUCGGACAUGCUAUUGGUCCUGUUACCUUUAAGCAAGGGUCUGUACCUGUAGUGUGUCCCAUCGGUAUUACCCGAAUAGCAUGAAUCCUGCUGUGCGCAUCUUUCUAAUUGCUAAGCUGACAUUUCAAAGCAGGAGAAAAGUGAGCUUUUGUCCUUCAGAGUUGCAGCGACAAAAUGCAAAGAACUGAGGAGCCCUGCCCGCUGUGGUGACAAUCUAGGAGAAUUCACAACAGAAUCCAAACAAAAUUUCCCAUGGCAAGUCCUGACUUGUUUCCUUCUGUGAAUUGUCUAACUCAGUAUGUAUGACAUUCAUGUUUCGCAAGAAUCCUUGCAGACAAAGUUAAUAAAGUUAAUAAAUGCCACAAUCAACUGCUGGUUUCUGUUGCUUACCUUUGGUGCCACAUUUAUAGCACAAGAAUGAAGCUAAGGGGUAAGUGAAAGGCUUCAACUUUCUCCAUGCCAACCACCUCCUUCCCUAUCUAUGAAUGGGAAGUGGCAGCCAGGAGUCACAUAUACCAAAAGAUGUAAAAGAUGUGACAGAUUCAUAGGUAUUGUGAGAAGUGAGGGCUUUGCAUGGAUUCACGUAGCAGCCGUACUGCUGGUGCAAGAUAAACAUUUUUUUGAAGCUUCUGUGCAGUUUCUUCCACUCUGAAUUAUAAAUCAUACAAUGCUGCAUUUAAAUGGUAAUUAUUAAAUGGUAGAAUAAACCUUCAUAAGUUUAGAUUAUUUGAGGGAGAGGAACAAAGAAGUAUUCAUAGAACAGAAAAUGGAGUGAAUUUCAGUGAUUGUGCACUGUAAGAUCUGGAGCUAAAUAAUUCAUUUGUACAAGCGAUAAGAUUUGGCUGCUACCAACAGUUACCAUAAAGGAAAUUAAAGCAUAUUCUACUAAAUGUAUAUAUGUAUAUGUAUUACCAUAAUUGUGAAGGCAAUAAGCCAAAAAUAUAUUGGACUGAAUCUAAAAGCUAAAUUCUGAUGUUGCUCUAUUCAGUAGGUCCAGCCAUGCACACUGUGUCUUCACAUCUUGUUAUUAAGCAGAAAGAGCAAGGAGUAUUACUUAGGAGUGCUCUCCUUCAAUGUCUUUGUUGCCUUUGGUUCUUUCAUUUAAAUGUACUGAGUCCUCCUUCAUGUUUAAAGAUAAGAAGUGGAAAUAACAUAAAACACUUUACUAAAAGUGACAAGACACUAAUGGAAGCAAUUGGAAUGACUUCGGUGUUGCUGUGCAUUACAUACAGUAUAAGCAGCCUUUUGAAUGGGUAUUAUGUAUUACAGGGUAUUUAGUUAUAAUGAACCAGUUCAACAUGAAGUUUUAUGCAUAAUAUGGAACUAUCUUGUUUGGUUUUAAAAAAAGAUUGUUGCUGUUACAUAUUCCAAAAUGUUCUGACCCUGUCAGCAAAGCAAAGCUACAAUGCUUUUAAAAAUCAAAAUAUGGUAAAUCUGAAGCUUGUUAUGUGCAGUAUGUUCCCAGGUUUGAAGUUGGAUUGUGCUGUAAGCACCAUAACGUUUGUUUGGCCUGGGUGAAGAGAGAUAAUAACAUUAAAUAUAGAAAAUAGGCCAGUUCAAAUUAUAAACAAUUUGCAGUAGCAUCUCAGUUGGCAGUGUCAGUUGGUAGUGUUUAAAAAAUGAAUUAUUAGCAGCAAUGUGUGAUCUGAGUUUUUUUCCUUUCUUUUCAGCAGUUAGUGCCAUGUUUCUGCUGCAGUGACUGCAAUUUACAAAGUGAGUGUUGCUUUUACUGCCUAUAGAUACAUGUUUUUGAAAACCAAGGUAGUAUAUUUUAUAAAGACGCCUGAACUGUGGAAAAUUAUUAGAGGGAACCACAAAGCGUGACUUGUCUUCAGUCUCUGGUUCUCGUUUCUUCUGUAGGUUUACCUGAAGCCUGGCAGUCUAAGACCUCAGCACAAAUUACUGGGAGACUCACAGGAUGAGGCGUUAUGAUCUCUCUCUUCCCUACACCACCAUCAGGCAAAUUGACAAGAGUUACCCUCUGUGGCAGCUCUGCUGCACAAUGGUUUGCUCUUCUCAACUGAGCCAUCAUCAGCCUCCUGUCUCUUAAUUUUUAAUGGCAGGGAUCACUACAAAUAGACUUUUCUACCUUUUAUCUUUCUUAAAAACCAAUGUUUUAUUAACACAUUUAUCACUCUGUUGUGCUGUUUUUCAGUGGGGAAAACUGAGCUGUCAGCAGGAGCACUUGUGUGUAUGAACUUUAAACUAUGGCAAGAACUAAUGAUGCAUCUAACCUGGAAUCGUGUCCAUGCAGGUAAGAAAGGAACAGAGUGGGAGAGAGGGAAGGAUCGAACUUACAGCAUCUUUCAAAGAGCAGGCCUGUUCACAGGUCAGCCUGGGCUCAGAAAGCAGAGAGCAUUGAGACUAUGGUGGCUGUAAUGCCAAGAGUAGGUCUCCUGUGUUGACGUACAGGGUGCCUGUGUGUGGCCUACUCAGUUUAACCUUUGUCUCGGAUUGAGGUGCAUUAAUAUUUCUCAAGGCUUAUGAACAUGUCAGUAAAAUCCUUUAGUGGUGGUGAGGUAGCUGUGAUAGUGAGUGAUUGUUAAGCCACAUAAAACACAUACAAGUAAUGCAUUACUUUCAGGUCAGCCUGCACAGCUAAAUGCCUGAUGCUACAGAUAGGCACCAUGCAUAAAGGUGGAGGGUAACGAUCUUGGAAGAUACUUGCUGUUUCACACACCAGACUCUCCAAAGCACUUUCCCACAAAACAUUGAGUAGUUCAUGCCUGAGGGUGAAAACACUGCAGGAAAUCAGCAAAGAGGAAAAAAAUAUCCCAAAACUUAAGCAGUGAGAGUAGUAUUUGUCAAUGUUGCAGGUCCAGGAAAGAUUUAGUUACAGGUGUCAUGGAGAAUAGUCUGGGCCUUUGCAAGUUCAGCUUACUGCUGGAAAUUGCCUUUAAAUCAAAGGAAGCAAAAUGUUACUCACAGCUGAGACCUGCAGUUGUAAGCACUAAAGGUACAGGGUAACUUUGUUUUUCCUAAAUUUGAUGGAUGCUUCUAGUCUGUCACAGUAGGAAUGGCUGUACUGAGCUUUCUGGGAAGACAGGGCACCAUGAUUGUCUCUCUGGUCUGUUGUCAAUGGCCGAAUGGUCCUUGGAGGCUGGCUGCAAGGAGUGGGCCAGUUGCAUUCCUCUGUUUGCCUGUUCCCUGCUGUGCUCCUUCCCUGAGUGCUUAGCAUCAACCUGUGUAUUAUCUGGGGUUGCUUGCUGAUGGGGAGUUAUGUGUUUGAACAACAGGAAACAUCUGAUUCUUAACCUCAUCACUACAAGGUGUGCACAUAAGGGUACUACAUAAAUUACUUCAGUUACCAAUGGGUGGGGAAAUUGGACAAUUGGUGGCUGUUUCCUGGCUAAGGAAAGUUAUGAUUUCAAUUUCUGCAAGUUCCAGAAAAUGUGGGGUAAAUUCUAGCCAACAGUCAGGCAGAGGGAGAUGGGUCUGAAAAACAGAACUGAGAGGUGACCCCAGUUCCAACAGAGACUGAUGUGUCUUGGCUGUUGCAAGCAUGCAGCUGAGGGGGAAAAAAAUUCCUCAGCAUAAAAACAUCUGUAGUUUUAAUAACUCUCAAAAAUGAGCAAUGUGCAAAAAGAUUUUUCUUCAGCAAGGCAAACUCUGUCAUACCUGCAGAUGAUGAUAUCCCAAAAUAAAUUAAUGAAAUGGUGACGUUCAGGGAAGGAGCAGCUGACAGCUUUGUAUGGAUCUUCAAGUGUGGAAAUGAGUGAUAUUUUCUGGCAGACUAACUUGCAACAGGGAUGAUAAAAAAUAAAACCAUAGUAGAAUGACAGAGCCCACUCACAAGUUGUUUACUGAAAUGAAGAUACAGCUGAAAGUAAUUACUUGUUUCCCAGAGGUAUAAGUGAUAGUGCCUCCUACAAGAAAUAAUAGUCAGUUAUUUCAGUUGGAAUGUAAAAUGGGAUAGAAAGGUUUCCUCUUUCUGAGGUUAGAUGCUGGGUAUUUUUACCUCCUUUCAGAACAUAUAUAUAUAUGAAUGUAAUAUAUAUUACAUAUACAGUCAACCAUCUAUAUGCCACUGGCGAUUAAUAAGUGAGAUAAUGUCCAAUAUUGUUUUCCCUUAACAGCCAGAUCUCACUGUACAGAUCCUGAUUAAAAGCCCAACUUUGCAGCACAAAAGAUUAAAAAUACUCCUUUAAAAUAACAUAUUUCUGAAGAUGAUCCUCUCCUGGCUACAAAAUCAUCUUGAGAAACUUGGAGGCAGGGCUGCUUGAUCUUGACGUUUUAGCUGUAUGCAAUCUGUAGUAAAAUUACAAUUGCAUUCUGUGCUAGCUACUUGUACCUUCUUGCUGAAGAACACUCAUUUUCUAUGCCCUUUCUUCCAGACCAUGGGAUGUGGGAAAACAACCUGGAGGGUUUCACAGAGGUUGCCUUACUGAAAUCUUCCUACCAUGGGUUUGCAGAUCAGCCCCUCAUAAGAAGCCUCCUUUGCCUUGCCACAGGCCAUGGAAAAGAAACCAUUGCUCCUGGGAGUUUUCUUCUGUUUAAAGACAAGGCUCCUUCUUACCUGCACCAGUUCAAGUACUGACUUUUUCUUUUCUUCGUCCUUCAGUGAAGUGGGAUGAUUCACAAAAUCUUCAGAAAGAUAGCAUUAUACACAGUUUAUAGUACAAAGGGGGGGGG